rfam:Vagococcus lutrae LBD1 adhBo-supercont1.2, whole genome shotgun sequence.
AAAAUAAAGCAGGAGCACCCGCUUCUCGCCUGAGUAGACAAAACGUCUCUGGGCUAGAUAAUUUUUUAGAUAGCUAUAUGAGUAGCUAUUUAUGAAAUCGGUGGGAGUUCUUAUGUUAAGAACUCUUUUUUUCUGUUUA